GCUAGCGGGAAGCCUUACACAUGCAAGUCGAACGGCAGCGCGAGGAAAGCUUGCUUUCCUUGGCGGCGAGUGGCGAACGGGUGAGUAAUGUAUCGGAACGUGCCCAGUAGCGGGGGAUAACCACUCGAAAGAGUGGCUAAUACCGCAUACGCCCUUCGGGGGAAAGGGGGGGAUUCUUUCGGGAACCUCUCACUAUUGGAGCGGCCGAUAUCGGAUUAGCUAGUUGGUGGGGUAAAGGCUCACCAAGGCCACGAUCCGUAGCUGGUUUGAGAGGACGGCCAGCCACACUGGGACUGAGACACGGCCCAGACUCCUACGGGAGGCAGCAGUGGGGAAUUUUGGACAAUGGGGGGAACCCUGAUCCAGCAAUCCCGCGUGUGCGAUGAAGGCCUUCGGGUUGUAAAGCACUUUUAGCAGGGAAGAAACAGCGCCGGUUAAUACCCGGCGUCACUGACGGUACCUGCAGAAUAAGCACCGGCUAACUACGUGCCAGCAGCCGCGGUAAUACGUAGGGUGCAAGCGUUAAUCGGAAUUACUGGGCGUAAAGGGUGCGCAGGCGGCCUGGCAGAAAGGUGUGAAAUCCCAGGGCUUAACCUUGGAAUGGCACUUUUAACUGCCAGCUAGAGUAUGUCAGAGGGGGGGUAGAAUUCCACCGUGUACAGUGAAAAUGC
rnacentral:rRNA from 1 species